rnacentral:rRNA from 1 species
AUUGAACGCUGGCGGCAGGCCUAACACAUGCAAGUCGAGCGGAGUGGCGAACGGGUGAGUAACACGUGGGUGACCUGCCCUGCACUUCGGGAUAAGCCUGGGAAACUGGGUCUAAUACCGGAUAGUGUGGGAUGGGCCCGCGGCCUAUCAGCUUGUUGGUGGGGUAAUGGCCUACCAAGGCGGCGACGGGCAGCCGCCCUGGUAGGGUGGACGGCCACAUUGGGACUGAGACACGGCCCAGGCUGCUACGGGAGGCAGCGGUGGGGAAUAUUGCACACUGGGCGGGAGCGUGAUGCAGCGACGCCGCGUGGGGGAUGACGGCCUUCGGGUUGUAAACUCCUUUCACCAUAGACGCGGUAGAUGGAGAAGAAGCACCGGCUAACUACGUGCCAGCAGCCGCGGUAAUUC